rnacentral:rRNA from 1 species
CAGUCGCCGCGGUAACACGUAGGUGGCAAGCGUUGUCCGGAAUUAUUGGGCGUAAAGGGCUCGCAGGCGGUUUCUUAAGUCUGAUGUGAAAGCCCCCGGCUCAACCGGGGAGGGUCAUUGGAAACUGGGAAACUUGAGUGCAGAAGAGGAGAGUGGAAUUCCACGUGUAGCGGUGAAAUGCGUAGAGAUGUGGAGGAACACCAGUGGCGAAGGCGACUCUCUGGUCUGUAACUGACGCUGAGGAGCGAAAGCGUGGGGAGCGAACAGGAUUAGAUACCCCGGUAGUCCCUGUCUCUUAUAA